rnacentral:rRNA from 1 species
GACAGAGGGGGCAAACGUUGUUCGGAAUUACUGGGCGUAAAGCGCGUGUAGGCGGCUUUGUAAGUCGGAUGUGAAAGCCCACGGCUCAACCGUGGAAGUGCAUCCGAAACUGCAUGGCUCGAGUCCCGGAGAGGAAGGUGGAAUGCUUGGUGUAGAGGUGAAAUUCGUAGAUAUCAGGCAGAACACCUGUGGCGAAGGCGGCCUUCUGGACGAUGACUGACGCUGAGACGCGAAAGCGUGGGGAGCAAACAGG